GACGAACGCUGGCGGCGUGCCUAACACAUGCAAGUCGAGCGGAAAUAAUUGAAAGCUUGCUUUUGGUUAUUUUAGCGGCGGACGGGUGAGUAACGGGUGGGCAACCUGCCUGUUACAGGGGGAUAACACAGGGAAACUUGUGCUAAUACCGCAUAACACAGCGAGGUAGCAUUACCUUGUUGUCAAAGGAGAAAUCCGGUGACAGAUGGGCCCGCGUCCAAUUAGCUGGUUGGUGAUGUAACGGACCACCAAGGCGACGAUUGGUAGCCGAACUGAGAGGUUGAGCGGCCACAUUGGGACUGAGACACGGCCCAGACUCCUACGGGAGGCAGCAGUGGGGAAUAUUGCACAAUGGGGGAAACCCUGAUGCAGCAACGCCGCGUGAAGGAUGAAGGUUUUCGGAUUGUAAACUUCUUUAGUCAGGGACGAAAAAAAUGACGGUACCUGAAGAAUAAGCCACGGCUAACUACGUGCCAGCAGCCGCGGUAA
rnacentral:rRNA from 1 species